GUAAAAUAUGCAGCCAUAGGUGAUGGUAAGCUCACUACGGAGAGAUUGCCACUUAAAAGGGAAGCCGGUUGAAAUCCAGCGCGGUCCCGCCACUGUAAUCCAGGCAUGAGUUGCCGGGAGAGUCAGGAUACCUGCCCAUGGUGCCGUUUACGA
rnacentral:ncRNA from 2 species